CACCUUCUCCCGUGAACCCACACUCACAAAGAGCCGAGGGGAGAGAGGGUGCGCAGACGGCCAGCGGGGCCGCGCCAGGGACAUAUUGGAGACAGGAAGUGGCUGAGAGUGGGAGAGAGAGUUGGAGAGAGACGGCCGCGGAGGACACGGGGACGGGAAAGUCUGAGAGACGGGGAGAGCCUGACCCGGCGGGACACAGGCAAAAAGAAACACGCGAGCCAGACAGACGCAGAAGAAACGGUGGGCGUAGGGGUCCAGAAGGGACUAGGAACAAGGGGACAGGGAACUGCCGCGCAGCCUCAGCCUCUCACCUUCCUCACAGGAGUGUGCCUGGGCUUGGGCCUGACCUGAGAGGACCACCCGUGGCCUAGCCUGGUGGUGCUAGCGUCCCCUACCCAGGCAGGCGCCUGAAUCAGUGCCUGGUACUGGAUAGGAACUUCAUGGAAUGGAGCUAAUGGGCCGUAGGGCAGGUUUGAGUCGUGCCACCCUGGAGCGGAAGGUGGAGGGUAGUGAUAAGCAUUCCUUAGGGUCUUUGGCUGGGCUCUGGGAUGGAUGCCAUGGGAGUACCUUUACCUAAGCUCUAAAGUUACCAAUGGAGAGACUGGGACUCAAAGAGGAACUUGAUUGGAUCCCAGAGAGGUGAGGGGUAAGGGCUAGAACCUCACACAUGCUGGUUUUGCUGCUGCCUGGCAGGCCCAUGAGAAGAACUUUAGAGGUUCCAAGGAAUUGGAAAAGGGUCACAAGAUGGGUGGCCAAACUCCCAGCUCAGGCUUGAUUCCUACUCUCAAUAUGGGGAUAGUGGGCAAGGGGGCUGCAAGAAGGAAGCUGAUGAGAAAGGCUGAGAAUGAGAAGUUAUACAGGAGGUAGCUUGGUGGGAGAGAAACAAAAAUGAAUGGUUCAUGGGCCAGCUAGGCAUCCUGAUUUCCAGCUCACAGCAGCAGGAGCUUCAGAGAGGAAGGAGAAGGGGAGGAGGAGAAGGCCAGGUUGAUGUUAAUAAAAGUCAA